GUCUUAACACCUGAGGUUUUAUAAAAGUUUUCAUGAUGUUACUUCCUCUGUAAAACCCGUUGUGCAAAAAUAUAUAAAACUGCAACAUCUGUUUUGCAACGAGGGCUGUCACCUGCCCUUCACAGAGGGUUAAAGACCUACAACAACACUGAGAGGAAAAGAGUCUGCCUGCCAGUGAGAGACGGAAAAACACUCAUCCCUGCUCAUUGUGUAGAAGUGCCUCUUUCAUACCAGACUAGUGAAGGCACCAUCGGUCAAAACACUGCCUCUCCCUUCGAACCGGAGUAGACUACAUAGCCGUACCCUGAAGGAAAACACGGCCCAGACUACAACUACGGCCUUUAUGUGCAGCCAAGCCUUGUGGGUGACAAACGAUACGAACACCAAGAUAAAAGCUUCCUUCCCCUCACCAGUGGGGGAAGAAGAGAAGGACACAAAGGGGGUUCCCUGGAUGCAGCGUGAAGAGCCACUUGAUUUAUGGCUCCCUGCGAGCCGCCGGUGACUACGGGUGAUGUCUGUGUGUGAGUGUGAGAGAGCGACACAGAGAGAAUAUCCUGAAACUGUCGAAACCACUCGCUGGAAACUUUCUGUCUUUUCCCGACCACAUCUGAGGCUGAGAGAACAGGAGGUAAACACCGUAAACCUUCACUGCCUGUCUCUCAAGGGACAUUUAAAGUACUACGCCAGUGUUUUUGCUUAGAUCUUGAAUACAGUACAGCUCACAAUUCCAAUAACCCAAUGUGUUGUAUUGAUAUUCGUUCUGCCUCAUUGACUUUUGUUCAUUUCCAUUAAUGAAAUUCUAUUACCAGAACCUUGAAACACCCUCUAAGCCCGGGGCCCUAAAUUUUUCUCUCUCAAGACUUGAAGAAAAGAAAAAAAAUAUGAGAUCAAGUGCCCACUUCCUUGUGUUUUAAAUAUGUUCUUACUGUAUGAACUGGAUGUUAUUUCACACUAUUAGUUGUGGAUAUUGUUACAGUAUUUUUUUCAUACAAUGGAACUGUCUGGCUUUCUUUGCUCAUCUUUACUAUUUGGUUUUAUAGAAGUGGACAUUUCUUGCAAGCCAUUGAUUACUCUCAGGUACUCUUAGCAAUCUAUCAUCUGAUCAUCUAGUACUUUAAGCUAAACAUUUUGAACAGUUAAUUCAUAAGAUAGAGGUAAUUAUUACAACCAUUUAUCCAUUACUUCUGGCUUUGUGUUUUUAAAUUGGUAACACAUAAAUACGGUAUGUAGAAUCGAAUAGCACCUGGUCAUUCGUUUGCAAGAUUUGGAGUCCAGAUUUAGAAAAGGAAGAAUGCAUGGAAUAAACAAAAAAGAUGAUAUCUCUU